rnacentral:sRNA from 1 species
GAAAAUAUUAAACCGAAAUAUACCGCGGAUCAAUCUCUAGUUAAUAGUUAUAAUUAGCAAAUUCCUUAAUUUCACAUUUUUGUACAAAUACUGCUCUUCAAUAAUAUAAGGAGAGUUAUUUCAUAAUUUUUUGAUUUUUUGACCAAUAAAAAGAAAACUUGUUAAAUUAAUCACAAUAAACACUAAUUCUAAAUCGUAAUUUGGAAAUACAUUAAAAACAUUAUAUAUUUCUUAAAAGGUUAAAGAUAUAAAUACAUACACAUUGAUUUUUUAGGACUCGGAAUCCAAGGAACCAAUGAAGUAUUAUUCAUUUGAGUCACGGGCUUGUUCAUAUGUCUUUAGCAUACUUUUUGAAUCAAUCAAUCUAUGAUAGUCAGGUGAUAAUGUGAAUAGUUGGCUGGUUGAGUCUCCAGUCGGGUGCACUACGACCACUUUAAAUCCAUUCUCUAUGAGAUCUAAAAUCACAUCCGCAAACCCUCCAUCACCCGUCAUCAUCGCUAUAACACUUUUUCCGAUUUUCUCUUCAUAUCAUAUCCUCUUUAUGUUAGAAUAUAUAAAAAAACAAGUAUAAGGUUCGCUGUCCGAAUAAUUUUGAGUCUCAAGAAGGUUGACAAUAAGAAUAACUUGUUUAUCAAUAUUUCUUUUAGUUUA